AUUGAACGCUGGCGGUAGGCUUAACCCAUGCAAGUCGAACGAGUGGCGGACGGGUGAGUAAUGUCUGGGAAACUGCCUGAUGGAGGGGGAUAACUACUGGAAACGGUAGCUAAUACCGCAUACCAUCGGAUGUGCCCAUAUGGGAUUAGCUAGUUGGUGGGGUAAAGGCUCACCUAGGCGACGAUCCCUAGCUGGUCUGAGAGGAUGACCAGCCACACUGGAACUGAGACACGGUCCAGAAUCGUACGGGAGGCAGCAGUGGGGAAUAGUGCACAAUGGGCGCAAGCCUGAUACAGCCAUGCCGCGUGUAUGAAGAAGGCCUGCGGGUUGUAAAGUACUUUCAGCGGGGAGGCGUUACCCGCAGAAGAAGCACCGGCUAACUCCGUGCCAGCAGCCGCGGUAAUAC
rnacentral:rRNA from 1 species